UGGCUUAGAUGGUAAAGUACCUGCCUGCAAUGUGGGUGACCCGGGUUCAAUCCCUGG
rnacentral:tRNA from 1 species